UGGCGGAGGUUACUGCUAUCGAGGUUCGACUAAGCCAUGCGAGUCGAAUGUAGCAAUACAUGGCGUACUGCUCAGUAACACGUGGAUAACCUACCCUUGAGAUGGGGAUAAACCCGGGAAACUGGGUAUAAUACCCAAUAVAUCUCGACUGCUGGAAUGCAUCGAGAUCCAAAGCUCCGGCGCUCAAGGAUGGAUCUGCGGCCUAUCAGGUAGUAGUGGGUGUAGCGUACCUACUAGCCUACGACGGGUACGGGUUGUGAGAGCAAGAGCCCGGAGAUGGAUUCUGAGACACGAAUCCAGGCCCUACGGGGUGCAGCAGGCGCGAAAACUUUACAAUGCUGGAAACAGCGAUAAGGGGACCUCGAGUGCCAGGUUACAAAUCUGGCUGUCGUGAUGCCUAAAAAGCAUUGCAUAGCAAGGGCCGGGCAAGACCGGUGCCAGCCGCCGCGGUAACACCGGCGGCUCGAGUGGUAACCGUUAUUAUUGGGUCUAAAGGGUCUGUAGCCGGCCGGAUAAGUCUCUUGGGAAAUCUGGCAGCUUAACUGUCAGGCUUUCAGGAGAUACUGUCUGGCUCGAGGCCGGGAGAGGUGAGAGGUACUUCAGGGGGAGGGGUGAAAUCUUGUAAUCCUUGAAGGACCACCAGUGGCGAAGGCGUCUCACCAGAACGGACUGACGGCAAGGGACGAAAGCUAGGGGCACGAACCGGAUUAGAUACCCGGGUAGUCCUAGCCGUAAACGAUACUCGCUAGGUGUCGGCAACGGUGCGACCGUUGUCGGUGCCGUAGGGAAGCCGUGAAGCGAGCCACCUGGGAAGUACGGCCGCAAGGCUGAAACUUAAAGGAAUUGGCGGGGGAGCACCACAACGGGUGGAGCUUGCGGUUUAAUUGGANUCAACGCCGGAAAUCUUACCGGGACCGACAGCAAUAUGAAGGCCAGGCUGAAGACUUUGCCGGAUUAGCUGAGAGGUGGUGCAUGGCCGUCGUCAGUUCGUACUGUGAAGCAUCCUGUUAA
rnacentral:rRNA from 1 species